rnacentral:tmRNA from 1 species
GGGGGCGACUUGGCUUCGACGGGGGUAGAAAGGCGUGAGUUGCGUGCCGAGGGCCAUCUCCUCGAUAAUCCGAUGGAACCAAAAUGUAUCUGCGGACGAUCACUCGUACGCAAUGGCUGCGUAGCUAACACUACGCGGUCCGUCCGGCCUCAUUCAGCCUGCGGGAUGGGGUUCGGGCGCCGACUUUAGCAGGCUAGUUCGUGGUCCUCUGUUCGAGGGAUUCCGGGCGAACGCUUAUCGAACUGGCGUUCUGUUCACCUUGUCUGGUGGGGGUUCAGGACGCGAGAUCUAAAUGUCAGACUACGCACGUAGACGCUGACGUUGGACUGUCUUCGGACGCGGGUUCGAUUCCCGCCGCCUCCACCA